rnacentral:rRNA from 1 species
CGAAAGCCUGACGGAGCAAUGCCGCGUGGAGGAUGAAGGCCUGUGGGUUGUAAUCUCCUUUUUUCAGAGAAGAAGUUCUGACGGUAUCUGAAGAAUAAGCAUCGGCUAACUCCGUGCCAGCAGCCGCGGUAAUACGGAGGAUGCAAGCGUUAUCCGGAAUCAUUGGGCGUAAAGCGUCUGUAGGUGGCUUGGUAAGUCGACUGUUAAAUCGUAGAGCUCAACUUUAUAUCGGCAGUCGAAACUACUUCGCUUGAGUGUGGUAGGGGCAGAGGGAAUUCCCGGUGUAGCGGUGAAAUGCGUAGAUAUCGGGAAGAACACCAACGGCGAAAGCACUCUGCUGGGCCAACACUGACACUGAGAGACGAAAGCUAGGGUAGUCAAUG